AUUGAACGCUGGCGGCAGGCUUAACACAUGCAAGUCGAGCGGGGGAGGUUGCUUCGGUAACUGACCUAGCGGCGGACGGGUGAGUAAUGCUUAGGAAUCUGCCUAUUAGUGGGGGACAACAUUCCGAAAGGGAUGCUAAUACCGCAUACGCCCUACGGGGGAAAGCAGGGGAUCUUCGGACCUUGCGCUAAUAGAUGAGCCUAAGUCGGAUUAGCUAGUUGGUGGGGUAAAGGCCUACCAAGGCGACGAUCUGUAGCGGGUCUGAGAGGAUGAUCCGCCACACUGGGACUGAGACACGGCCCGGACUCCUACGGGAGGCAGCAGUGGGGAAUAUUGGACAAUGGGCGGAAGCCUGAUCCAGCCAUGCCGCGUGUGUGAAGAAGGCCUUUUGGUUGUAAAGCACUUUAAGCGAGGAGGAGGCUCUUAAGGUUAAUACCCUUGAUGAGUGGACGUUACUCGCAGAAUAAGCACCGGCUAACUCUGUGCCAGCCGCCGCCGUAAAAC
rnacentral:rRNA from 1 species